rnacentral:rRNA from 1 species
UGCCAGCAGCCGCUGUACUCCUGAUGGUGCAAGCGUUGCUCGGAAUCACUGGGCGUAAAGCGUACGCAGGCGGCUCAGUAGGUCGGGUGUGAAAGCCCGGGGCUCAACCCCGGAACUGCAUUCGAAACCCCUGGGCUUGAAUACGGGAGAGGAGAGCGGAAUUCCUGGUGUAGAGGUGAAAUUCGUAGAUAUCAGGAGGAACACCAGUGGCGAAAGCGGCUCUCUGGCCCGAUAUUGACGCUCAUGUACGAAAGCGUGGGGAGCAAACAGGAUUAGAUA